rnacentral:rRNA from 1 species
UCGGGAAUUUUGGGCAAUGGGCGAAAGCCUGACCCAGCAACGCCGCGUGAGGGAUGAAGUAUUUCGGUAUGUAAACCUCGAAAGAAUGGGAAGAAUAAAUGACGGUACCAUUUAUAAGCUCCGGCUAACUACGUGCCAGCAGCCGCGGUAAUACGUAGGGAGCAAGCGUUGUUCGGAUUUACUGGGCGUAAAGGGCGCGUAGGCGGCGCGGUAAGUCACUUGUGAAAGCUCUGAACUUAACUCAGAACGGCCAAGUGAUACUGCUGUGCUAGAGUGCGGAAGAGGCAACCGGAAUUCUGGGUGUAGCGGUGAAAUGCGUAGAUAUCAAGAGGAACACCUGAGGCGAAGGCGGGUUGCUGGGCCGACACUGACGCUGAUGCGCGAAAGCCAGGGGAGCAAACG